UACAGAGGAUGCAAGCGUUAUCCGGAAUCACUGGGCAUAAAGCGUCUGUAGGUGGUUUGGUAAGUCUGCUGUUAAAGACUGGGGCUCAACCCCAGAAAAGCAGUGGAAACUGCCAGACUUGAGUGUGGUAGAGGUAGAGGGAAUUCCUAGUGUAGCGGUGAAAUGCGUAGAUAUUAGGAAGAACACCAAUGGCGAAGGCACUCUACUGGACCAUAACUGACACUGAGAGACGACAGCUAGGGGAGCAAAUGGG
rnacentral:rRNA from 1 species